rnacentral:rRNA from 1 species
AGGCAGCAGUGGGGAAUUUUGGACAAUGGGCGCAAGCCUGAUCCAGCAAUGCCGCGUGCAGGAAGAAGGCCUUCGGGUUGUAAACUGCUUUUGUACGGAACGAAACGGUCCUGGUUAAUACCUGGGGCUAAUGACGGUACCGUAAGAAUAAGCACCGGCUAACUACGUGCCAGCAGCCGCGGUAAUACGUAGGGUGCGAGCGUUAAUCGGAAUUACUGGGCGUAAAGCGUGCGCAGGCGGUGCUGUAAGACAGGCGUGAAAUCCCCGGGCUCAACCUGGGAAUUGCGCUUGUGACUGCAGUGCUGGAGUACGGCAGAGGGGGAUGGAAUUCCGCGUGUAGCAGUGAAAUGCGUAGAUAUGCGGAGGAACACCGAUGGCGAAGGCAGUCCCCUGGGCCUGUACUGACGCUCAUGCACGAAAGCGUGGGGAGCAAACAGGAUUAGAUACCCUGGUAGUCCACGCCCUAAACGAUGUCAACUGGUUGUUGGGAAUUUACUUUCUCAGUAACGAAGCUAACGCGUGAAGUUGAC